AUUUUCCCAAAGACACACAGUUGAUAAGUGGCAAAACUGGGCUUUAAACUUAGGACAAUCUGAUUCCUAAAGUCAAGGUUAAGUACAUAUCAGGAAUGGGGGGUGGGGGUCUGUUCCUCUCUCAAAACAAGAGCUCUAGCCUUCGAAGAUUGUGGAUUCUAAUGCACACUCAGUAAUGAACCUAUGUACUAAGAAUCAUUAUGCUCAAACCGGCCUAUCUGUUGUAUCCAAAACUAUUGCCGUGGGAUUGCAAGAAUCAAACAUUGAUGGGAAAAUACUAGCUGCCAAGCGUCUGUUAGGAAACAGGGAUACAGGUCCUCGUCUUGAAGAAUUGACAGAGUAAUGGAGAGGAAAUGAUCACUGACAUAGCUGAUUUGUACAAAUGCAGCAAGACUGUCAGAAAAGCUGGGAUGAUUUCAGCCUUAGACGCAAGGCAUGAGGCCUGAAAAGUUUCUAGGAGAGGACUCAAACUCAACAAAGGAGUCAUUGGACGUAAAGAACUUGAUCUUCUUUAGAAGAAGCAAGUAGCAAGUCCUUAGAAUGUGGAGGAAACAGAGAUUCUGAGUCUGCGUGUUGGUUCUUAAGCAGCUCCGUCCCCAGCUAUAUUAGUUUCUUAUGACUGCUGUAACAAAUUGCUACAAACUUGGUGGCUUAAAACAAAAUUCGUUCUCCUACAGUUCUAGAGGCCCGAGUCUGAAAUGAGUUGUAAGGAGCUAAAAUCAAGAUGUUGACAGGCAUGUUCUCUCCAGAGGCUCUAGCAGAGAAUCUGUUUCCUUUGCAUUUUCCAGCAUCCACAGCUGCAUUCCUUGCCAUCAGUGUAGCAUCUUCUGUGACUCUCCUUCCAUCCCAUGGCCUGCUUCUCUUCUGUCUUAAAUCUCCCUCUGCCUCCUUCUAAGAAAACUUGUCAUUGCAUUUAGGGACCAUUUGGAUGAUCCAGAUGAGUGUUUCACUGUGGAUCCUUCUUGUGGAGUGAGGGACAGAAGACAGAUGGAGAGAGGAGGGUGGUAGGAUAGGGAGAGAAGUAUCUACCAGUUGGCCAGAAACCAGAUCACUAGAGGGAAUUAACUUGUAGGGUAUUAAAUCUUUUCAAUGAGCCCCUCAAGACGAUCUUGGAUCCUCACUUCGUAG
rnacentral:lncRNA from 1 species